CCUGUCAGGAGCCUCUGCUGUAUAGAGCUGGAGUGUGAAAGUCAAGCUGAACCUGCCUAAUUGUGCCUGCGAAGGCAAUUCAGAGAAGCUGCUCUUGGAAGGGAAUCAGGACAAUUAGCUCUGAGCUGUGUGGAGAAGGGACAAGAGAGCUCACCAUGGUGAAUGUCAGCCUGUCCCUGGGGGAAGCAAAGGGCAGCAUUGAGUGAGAGUGAAGAGGUGACUCUAAUUUGUGUCAAAUCACAAUACAAAACAAAAGCACACAGCCCUUUUUGCAUCUGAGGAGACAGAGCUCCAAGGGAGAUUCCCCAAAUAGAAGCCCCCCACCCCGACCCCUGCCAGCCACUUCUGUGUCCAGCUGUCCACGGGAUGUGAAGCCAGGCCAUGUUCAGCUUUUUCAGCCAGCGCAGAGGAACAGCUGCCCCCCAUCACCGAUGGCACAGGGAGGAAGUCUCCUCAGCAUGCUUUAUGGUGUUGAGCAUCAUUGCUGAUGCCAUCCUCUGCUGGGUGGACCAGAAUGGUGAUGGAUGAAGAACAGAAGAGCCAAGGCCUGCUGGAGCAAUUGGGAGAGACCCUUCUCCAGGGAGACUGGAUGCUGCCUCCAAAAUCUCAAGAGCUCUUCUGGAAAAGGAGGCUCUGGAAGAUUCUUUUGCCCCAAGUGUGGCAAGAGGGGCUGAAGCAGACGGAGCUCUCUGAGAUCACAGCCCACCUCUCACCGCCCACCUUCAAGAAGCUCAUAGAUCCAUCUUAAAAGCCUUUCCAAUAAAGCCUUGGAGACAACAAGCCCCAUUUCUGAG
rnacentral:lncRNA from 1 species